rnacentral:lncRNA from 1 species
GUCGAAAUUCGUCAAUUCGGUAAAUUGAAAGAACCAGUCAAAAUUACAAAACCACCCAAAAUUAGUGCCCAAGAUACUUGCAAGCACCGAUUUUUUUAACCCCUUAUGAACAGUGCAAUCCAAAAUCGAUCAAAAUUGGUGUAAAAAUACUCCCGAGCGGGCCCUAAAGCAUCAAUGUCACACUCGAAACUGUGCUAGCUUCAAUUAUGGCGAUUCAUAUGACAAUACACUGU